rnacentral:rRNA from 1 species
CCUACGGGCGGCAGCAGUGAGGAAUAUUGGUCAAUGGUCGCAAGCCUGAACCAGCCAAGUAGCGUGAAGGAUGACGGCCCUACGGGUUGUAAACUUCUUUUAUGAGGGGAUAAAGUGCGUCACGUGUGCCGUUUUGUAGGUACUGUAUGAAUAAGGAUCGGCUAACUCCGUGCCAGCAGCCGCGGUAAUACGUAGGAGCCCAGCGUUAUCCGGAUUUAUUGGGUGUAAGGGGAGCGUAGGUGGGUUGUUAAGUCAGUUGUGAAAUCUUGCGGCUCAACCUUUAGCUUGCAAUUGAAACUGUUAGUCUUGAGUACAGGAGAGGUAGGCGGAAUUCGUGGUGUAGCGGUGAAAUGCGUAGAUAUCACGAAGAACACCGAUUGCGAAGGCAGCUUACUAGACUGCCACUGACACUGAGGCACGAAAGUGUGGGGAGCAAACAGGAUUAGAUACCCCAGUAGUC